rnacentral:tRNA from 1 species
GAUGACUUCGGUCACGACGGUAUGGCGAGCUUUCGCCGUCCACGUUUCUCUUUCUUCAAGAAGACAAAAAACCGCGUCGACCGGUUCCCCGAAUGGGCCCGUAGCUCAGUUGGUUAGAGCACACGCUUGAUAAGCGUGGGGUCGGAAGUUCAAGUCUUCCCGGGCCCACCAUUUGCACCAGCAAAUGAAAUUUGCUGUAGCGAAUGAGGGUUAGGGAUGAUGGAAUGUUGGUGAUGCGGAUUGUUGCCGAACCUGGGCUUGUCCUGGGUGAUCGAGCUGGAGGGGCUGUAGCUCAGCUGGGAGAGCACCUGCUUUGCAAGCAGGGGGUCAGCGGUUCGAUCCCGCUCAGCUCCACCAAAUCGAUUGGUGUUGAGACUGACGGCAUUUGUCUUUUGAAGAAAUAAAAGUUUUGCAUUGGCUUAGGCUGGUGCGUGUUCUGCAUACAUUGUGAAGAGAAGAUUGAUCUGGAGGCUUCCAGGUGUUGUGGGUUUUGCCCAUGAUGUCCGAGCCCAGUUCCUGUGAAACCAUGGAUGGCCUAGCCGGCCGGAUGUGGUGGAGGGAUUGGAGGUAGGUAGGAAGCUUGUCGCUCUGGAUCGUCAGCGUAAACCCGCGUAGCGGUUUAUCGCGUGUUGUUCGUUGCCUUUGGGCAUCGUCUGACGGACGAUCGGAUUA